UCCCGCCCCCUCGGCCUUCCGGGCGAAGUUUCCCUAACUUUCUCUUCUCUGAAUCUCCGCUCUCCAGCUCCGUCCUUGCCCUCCAAGGUUUUGCCCACAAAAUGGUUGGUUAUCUCCUGAAGAGCAGCAUCUCCAUCUGCCUGUGUCCCUUCUCCCUCCAGUGCCUAGAAGAUGGCAAGCCUCCAUAACAUUCAUUGAAUGAAUGAAUGAAUGAAUGAAUGAAGUCUAGCGAAACAGUUACCCUCGUGGGCCUAGAGCUCAACAAGCCACAGUCCACGAGCUACAAAAUUUUUGUUUGAUUUUUUUCUGGUUUAAAGUGGCUGGGGAAAGUCAAAAGAAGUAUUCUUUCAUAAUGUGUGCAAAUGAUAUGAAAUUCCAAUGUGAGUAUCCACUGGCACGAAGCCACGCCCACUCAUUCGUGUGUUGUGUGUGGCCGUGUGGGCAAGGCGACGGCAGAGCCGAGUGGUUGCAACAAGGACGGGUCCACAAAGCCCACGCCAUUGACUCUCUCUGGUCCAUUUCAGAAAAAAAAAAAGUUGCCAACUCUGCUCUAGAGUGUGGAGUUUCGGCUCUCGAAGUUACAGCUGUGUGAUCCGAGAGAAAAUUGGGCCCCGAUUGUUAACUGGGCCACCUCAUCGGACCCUCCCAAUGGCCCUAGAUUGCGGGCAUUGACUGCCCCAUGUUGCAGAUAAUUAAAUUCAGCCAAAGGCAAGCAAAGUGACCGUGCAAGGUCAUUCAGCUAACAAGAAAU